rnacentral:rRNA from 1 species
UAGGGAAUAUUGGACAAUGGGUGAGAGCCUGAUCCAGCCAUGCCGCGUGCAGGAAGAAGGCGUUAUGCGUUGUAAACUGCUUUAGCCAGGGGAUAAAAAGACCUUGCGAGGUUAAUUGAAGGUACCUGGAUAAUAAGCCACGGCUAUACUACNUG